rnacentral:rRNA from 2 species
UAGCCGAGUUGAGAGACUGAUCGGCCACAAAGGGAAUGAGACACGGUCCAUACUCUACGGGAGGCAGCAGUAGGGAAUCUUCCACUAUGGGCGCAAGCCUGAUGGAGCAACACCGCGUGAGUGAAGAAGGGUUUCGGCUCGUACAGCUCUGUUGUUAGAGAAGAACGUGCGUGAGAGCAACUGUUCACGCAGUGACGGUAUCUAACCAGAAAGUCACGGCUAACUACGUGCCAGCAGCCGCGGUAAUAUGUAGGUGGCAGCGUUAUCUGGAUUUAUUGGGCGUAAAGCGAGCGCGGCGGUUUUGAUAAGUCUGAUGUGAAAGCCUUUGGCUUAACCAAGAAGUGCAUCGGAAACUGUCAGACUUUGAGUGCAGAAGAGGACAGUGGAACUCCAUGUGUAGCGGUGGAAUGCGUAGAGAUAUGGAUCAACACCAGUGGCGAAGGCGGCCGUCUGGUCUGCUACUGACGCUGAGGCUCGAAAGCCUGGGUAGCGAACAGGAUUAGAUACCGAGGUGGUCCAUGCUGUCAACGAUGAGUGGUAGGUGUUGGAGGGUUUCCG